GAAAUAUUAUCCAUUUUUUUUUCCUGAAUACGAAACGCGCCUCUGGUGUAAAUAUAAAAUUUCAAUCCUGGUAUCUACGAUGAGUUUAUUUACACGGACUCACAAAAUGUAUAGACAAAAUGACGUCAUAACAUACAAUUAGAUAAUUUCAGUCUUUGAGAUGAGCAAAAAUUAAACCACAGAUAAACAAAUAAUGCAUAUACAUGUCUAACAAUUUUGUUUUGCAAAAAGAACUUUUAAAAGG
rnacentral:lncRNA from 1 species